rnacentral:rRNA from 1 species
CCUACGGGGGGCAGCAGUGGGGAAUAUUCGGCAAUGGGCGCAAGCCUGACCCAGUAACGCCGCGUGAAGGAAGAAGGCUUUCGGGUUGUAAACUUCUUUUAAGGGGGAAAAACAGAAGACGGUACCCCUUGAAUAAGCCACGGCUAACUACGUGCCAGCAGCCGCGGUAAUACGUAGGUGGCAAGCGUUGUCCGGAUUUACUGGGCGUAAAGGGCGUGCAGCCGGAGAGACAAGUCAGAUGUGAAAUCCACGGGCUCAACCCGUGAACUGCAUUUGAAACUGUUUCCCUUGAGUGUCGGAGAGGUAAUCGGAAUUCCUUGUGUAGCGGUGAAAUGCGUAGAUAUAAGGAAGAACACCAGUGGCGAAGGCGGAUUACUGGACGAUAACUGACGGUGAGGCGCGAAAGCGUGGGGAGCAAACAGGAUUAGAUACCCCGGUAGUC